rnacentral:rRNA from 1 species
AUUGAACGCUGGCGGCAUGCUUUACACAUGCAAGUCGAACGGUAACAGGGAGCUUGCUCCGCUGACGAGUGGCGAACGGGUGAGUAAUGCGUCGGAACGUGCCGAGUAGUGGGGGAUAACGCAUCGAAAGGUGUGCUAAUACCGCAUACGAACUAAGGUUGAAAGUGGGGGACCUUCGGGCCUCACGCUAUUCGAGCGGCCGACGUCUGAUUAGCUAGUAGGUGAGGUAAAGGCUCACCUAGGCGACGAUCAGUAGCGGGUCUGAGAGGAUGAUCCGCCACACUGGGACUGAGACACGGCCCAGACUCCUACGGGAGGCAGCAGUGGGGAAUUUUGGACAAUGGGCGCAAGCCUGAUCCAGCCAUGCCGCGUGUCUGAAGAAGGCCUUCGGGUUGUAAAGGACUUUUGUCUGGGAGCAAAUACCCGGUGUUAAUAGCGCCGGGGGCUGAGAGUACCAGAAGAAUAAGCACCGGCUAACUACGUGCCAGCCGCCGCGGUAAGAC